rnacentral:rRNA from 1 species
AUGGACAUUGUUCUAAUGAUUACAUUACUUCCCCAUGGUUUUAGCUUGUCACAGAUGGAGAAUCAUCAUCCAGCUACAUCUCCCUUAGAAUCAGGGAAACGUUCUCCAUUUAAAGACCAAACAUGCAUAAUCUAUUUAGAGUUUCAGUUUGUUUUUUGUCUGACAUCUCUGUUGCCUCUGUUAUAUUACUACAUUGCUAUUAAAACAAGGAAGAAUGGCCUGAUGUUGCCUUUGAAUCUGAUUGUCGGGUACUGGUGGAGAUGUGGAACUCAAAAAAACAUAAUAGAUAGAGAUUAUCGGCUUCCUGGCAGAAAUUGA